UACGGAGGGUGCAAGCGUUAUCCGGAUUCACUGGGUUUAAAGGGUGCGUAGGCGGACAGGUAAGUCAGUGGUGAAAUCUCCGAGCUUAACUCGGAAACUGCCUUUGAUACUCUCUGUCUUGAAUAUGGUGGAGGUAAGCGGAAUAUGUCAUGUAGCGGUGAAAUGCUUAGAGAUGACAUAGAACACCUAUUGCGAAGGCAGCUUACUGCGCCUAUAUUGACGCUGAGGCACGAAAGCGUGGGGAUCAAACAGG
rnacentral:rRNA from 1 species